rnacentral:rRNA from 1 species
GAUGAACGCUGGCGGCGUGCCUAAUACAUGCAAGUCGAGCGAACGGACGAGAAGCUUGCUUCUCUGAUGUUAGCGGCGGACGGGUGAGUAACACGUGGAUAACCUACCUAUAAGACUGGGAUAACUUCGGGAAACCGGAGCUAAUACCGGAUAAUAUUUUGAACCGCAUGGUUCAAAAGUGAAAGACGGUCUUGCUGUCACUUAUAGAUGGAUCCGCGCUGCAUUAGCUAGUUGGUAAGGUAACGGCUUACCAAGGCAACGAUGCAUAGCCGACCUGAGAGGGUGAUCGGCCACACUGGAACUGAGACACGGUCCAGACUCCUACGGGAGGCAGCAGUAGGGAAUCUUCCGCGAUGGGCGAAAGCCUGACGGAGCAACGCCGCGUGAGUGAUGAAGGUCUUCGGAUCGUAAAACUCUGUUAUUAGGGAAGAACAUAUGUGUAAGUAACUGUGCACAUCUUGACGGUACCUAAUCAGAAAGCCACGGCUAGCUACGUGCCAGCAGCCGCGGUAAUACGUAGGUGGCAAGCGUUAUCCGGAAUUAUUGGGCGUAAAGCGCGCGUAGGCGGUUUUUUAAGUCUGAUGUGAAAGCCCACGGCUCAACCGUGGAGGGUCAUUGGAAACUGGAAAACUUGAGUGCAGAAGAGGAAAGUGGAAUUCCAUGUGUAGCGGUGAAAUGCGCAGAGAUAUGGAGGAACACCAGUGGCGAAGGCGACUUUCUGGUCUGUAACUGACGCUGAUGUGCGAAAGCGUGGGGAUCAAACAGGAUUAGAUACCCUGGUAGUCCACGCCGUAAACGAUGAGUGCUAAGUGUUAGGGGGUUUCCGCCCCUUAGUGCUGCAGCUAACGCAUUAAGCACUCCGCCUGGGGAGUACGACCGCAAGGUUGAAACUCAAAGGAAUUGACGGGGACCCGCACAAGCGGUGGAGCAUGUGGUUUAAUUCGAAGCAACGCGAAGAACCUUACCAAAUCUUGACAUCCUUUGACAACUCUAGAGAUAGAGCUUUCCCCUUCGGGGGACAAAGUGACAGGUGGUGCAUGGUUGUCGUCAGCUCGUGUCGUGAGAUGUUGGGUUAAGUCCCGCAACGAGCGCAACCCUUAAGCUUAGUUGCCAUCAUUAAGUUGGGCACUCUAAGUUGACUGCCGGUGACAAACCGGAGGAAGGUGGGGAUGACGUCAAAUCAUCAUGCCCCUUAUGAUUUGGGCUACACACGUGCUACAAUGGACAAUACAAAGGGCAGCGAAACCGCGAGGUCAAGCAAAUCCCAUAAAGUUGUUCUCAGUUCGGAUUGUAGUCUGCAACUCGACUACAUGAAGCUGGAAUCGCUAGUAAUCGUAGAUCAGCAUGCUACGGUGAAUACGUUCCCGGGUCU